rnacentral:rRNA from 1 species
UGGGGAAUUUUGGACAAUGGGGGCAACCCUGAUCCAGCAAUGCCGCGUGUGUGAAGAAGGCCUUCGGGUUGUAAAGCACUUUUGUCCGGAAAGAAAACGCCGUGGUUAAUACCCGUGGCGGAUGACGGUACCGGAAGAAUAAGCACCGGCUAACUACGUGCCAGCAGCCGCGGUAAUACGUAGGGUGCAAGCGUUAAUCGGAAUUACUGGGCGUAAAGCGUGCGCAGGCGGUCCGCUAAGACAGAUGUGAAAUCCCCGGGCUUAACCUGGGAACUGCAUUUGUGACUGGCGGGCUAGAGUAUGGCAGAGGGGGGUAGAAUUCCACGUGUAGCAGUGAAAUGCGUAGAGAUGUGGAGGAAUACCGAUGGCGAAGGCAGCCCCCUGGGCCAAUACUGACGCUCAUGCACGAAAGCGUGGGGGAGCAAACAGGAUUAGAUACCCUGGUAGUCCACGCCCUAAACGAUGUCAACUAGUUGUCGGGUCUUCAUUGACUUGGUAACGUAGCUAACGCGUGAAGUUGACCGCCUGGGGAGUACGGUCGCAAGAUUAAAAACUCAAAGGAAUUGACGGGGUC